AAAGGUCUAUUGUUGAUGCUGUCAUAUGAAUCAGAGGAGAUAACUGAGGCUUCUACGGGUUGUCAUUGUUCUGCCACGUAAGAGUAAUAUCCAGAUAUGUCUUCUGGGUCUCUAUAACAAAGGUACAUCUAUAGAAGACUGUAUACACACAUAUUGCAGAGUCGCAACAGUUUGGUGACCCUAUUCCAGCUUACCUUAAAAACUAUCUACAUCUGUACACUUUUUCCUCUGAGGUCAAAAUUUAGCUGUGGGACUGUCCCAUAAAGACUUUCAUAUUGUACAUAAGCAACAUAUCUUUCUUGCUCUUACCUAUAAUAGGUAUCUAUAUUUUUAUGAUAAAUAAAGAAGCUCCAGAUAGCUUUCAGCUAGUUCUCAUGAAACUACCAAAAUCAUCAAGACAAUAAAAACAAGCUAAAGAGUUUCCUUUACUUUAGAUUACACAAACCAGGUAACAUAAAUGUAUUACCUUUAGAAAUGAGGACAAUAUGUGGCCACCGUACCAAACUUUCAUUGAUUUUUUAAAUUAAAACAUUAAAAUGUUCUUUAUUGUUAUCAAGAUGAUAAUGAUGAAUAUAUAAGUACCAAGAAUAAAUUUACUUAUGAAGCAUUUCACCAAAAGUGAAACUGCAUAGCAGUGGGUCAUAUUAAUUGCAAAUAUCAUCACUGAAUGAAUUUUGGUGCUCAUAAAAAGCCCACAUACACAUGUUUACAUUGACACCAUGAUGUAGUCAUGGAUUUGAGUUUUACAUCACCAGUAACCAGUCAGCCAAGUGGCCAUUGUGAAUUUGUACUUUUUGAGUGGCAAGAUGUUACAGGGACGAGAUUUUUCUCAGAGUUAGCAGAUAUUAUUAGUCAUCUUUUAGUCUUAUCUGCAGGGUGUUUGUUCUAUAUCUCACUCUGAUUGUGGAAGACAGUGAUAUCUUUACUAGUUGUAAAAUUUAUCUAAUAAUUAAAGCUUUGGUGAUAAACAGAAGACCUGGAACCUGUGGUUUUCUUCUCUCCAGAGUGACAACGACUUAUGUAAAUUAUGGGUACAUGGUAAAAAUAUAUCAGUUAUUUUAGUUUGAUCCAAAUUGGACUUGCAAAGACUGCAUUUAGCUGUCAUUGAAGCCUUCUUGGAAUAGUGGGACAACGGCAAAAAAUAAAAUAAAGUAAAAUAAAAUAAAAUAAAAUAAAAUAAAAUAGAAAUGAAGCUUUACUUGCAUAUGCAAUCAAGGACACAAUAAGAAAAUAAGUGUUCUGUCCAUUCUUAACAUAAAACUUAACAUGCUGCACAAAAAUUGAUAACAUAUCUUUCUGUUUCUGUAAUACAGAAAAAUGUUAAAAACCCCACCUCUGUUUCAGCUAGUAGAGAUGAGCACUUUGAAGUGUGAAUGUUAACAGAUAAUUAUGAUACAUGAAAAAAGCUGUUUGCAGAAACUGUGACUUUGUGGAAAGUUACCAGAAAUAUAGAGCAACAAACUUUUGUUUCUCACAAGAUGGCUCUUCUUGACAGUUUUGAGGAAAACGUCACAAUACGAGACUCAGAGGCAUGGGAGUUUAAAUACACAUUCUGUCAAUGAGCUGAGAAAAUAAGGAACCUUUACUUUGGGAAAUUAACAUGUGCUAAGUAUCUUCUUGCUAGUGCUGAAAAUGACAUUCUUCACUAUUGGAAUCUGUCUAACUGUGCAUUGAAAUAGAAUAAAAUAUUUAAUGUUUGAGUUGUAAAACCUGAUCCUAAUUCAGAAAAUACUACUGCAUAAUUUUGAUUUUCAAAAGAUUUACUUUUUUAACCCAGCUAACUAAGGCCAUUUUAUAUUCAAAAGAAUAUCUCCAUUUUUAAUACCUCCAAAGAGGAAAUUCACUGGCGAGUGUUUAAUUCUGGAGGUAUCUCUGAAUCAUUCAUCUUGGAAGCUUACCAGAGACUGAACAGAUCACAGUUUUACUUAGUUUUAUUCACAAAAAUGACAAGAGUUUAUUGACAUGCAGUCCAACAUUUCUUCUCGAAAAAAUGUUUCCAGGAGAAACGUUGGACUGACUGUCCAAGAGACAAAAUUUAGUUCAUAAAAACAAAUGGCUAAUAGCAGAAUAAAGUAAUUCAACAAUACUAUUUAACUUCAUGUAUGAAAUCUCAGACAACAGCAGGAUUUAAAGAAAUAAAACUUUGGGUAAUGACUAGUAAAAUUUCCUUUAACAGAUACCACGCCUGCAAUUAUGGGAUUCUUCCUACACUACGUCAUGCAAUGCUGUCUGAGUUUCUAUGCUCUUUGUUUAUAAAAGUAUUAAGACUAUCAGUAAAAGAAGUUGAUAAUUCAGAUAAAGAAAGUAAUUUUAUUGGAUACAAUUAGAUACAGAUUUUGGAGAGGACACUGAACAUGAGCUGUGGGCAACUGAAGAAAAAAAAUUAAGGGCUUAGGGUAAGUAAAUUAGAUCUGCAAAACUAUUCUUCAAACUUUCAGAAUGAGGGCAG
rnacentral:lncRNA from 1 species